rnacentral:lncRNA from 1 species
AGAGGCUUACUGUAGUUUACGAAACGAAACGAAACGAAAUCUGCAGUUUGCGAAAUUUGCAGUUUGCGAAAUCUGUAAUUUGCGAAAUCUGUAAUUUGCGAAAUCUGCAGUUUGCGAAAUCUGUAAUUUGCGAAAUAUCUAUAGUUUAGGGUAAAAUAAAAAAUGUUCACAUGUUCCGAGGGUGAGGCGUCAGCAGUACAAUUAAAUUCUGUGCAAGUUAACCUACCUGACUACACGAAGUCAUAAUUGCGAUAAAACGUUAUCACAAUAAAUUGCUUUACUUGUAUUAGUUAUAUUUCAGCCGUGGCAGUGUCAAAUAAACUUCUUUAUAUAAUUAUAUAUCUGAGACUGCAAAAUGUAAAAGUUUAAGAUUGAAAAUACACCAUUGCCAGCAAAUUGAUUGGAAAUUUUGCCCUGACUAUGGGAUUUUCCCGGAAAUUCUUCAGAUGGCACAAGUGGAUCGCAGCCGCGAGGUUUGACAUAAAAAUGAUGGUGAUCGCAUCGAAAACUUUCGAAAAGGUAAACAUUUUUUUGACUUUCUGCUAUAUGUUUUCGCAAACUGCAAAUUUGAAUAGCAAACUAUCUAGAGAUUUCGCAAACUGCAGAUUUCGCAAACUGCAGAUUUCGCAAACUGCAGAUUUCGCAAAUUACAGAUUUCGCAAAUUACAGUUUCGCAAAGUGCAGAUUUCGUUUCGUUUCGUUUCGUAAACUACAGUAAGCC